UAUCGGAACGUGCCCUAGAGUGGGGGAUAACUAGUCGAAAGACUAGCUAAUACCGCAUACGAUCUACGGAUGAAAGUGGGGGAUCGCAAGACCUCAUGCUCAUGGAGCGGCCGAUAUCUGAUUAGCUAGUUGGCGGGGUAAAAGCCCACCAAGGCGACGAUCUGUAGCUGGUCUGAGAGGGCGACCAGCCACACGGGCACUGAGAUACGGGCCCG
rnacentral:rRNA from 1 species